rnacentral:rRNA from 1 species
GAUGAACGCUGGCGGCGUGCCUAAUACAUGCAAGCCGAGCGAACGGUCGAGAAGCUUGCUUCUCUGAUGUUAGCGGCGGACGGGUGAGUAACACGUGGAUAACCUACCUAUAAGACUGGGAUAACUUCGGGAAACCGGAGCUAAUACCGGAUAAUAUUUUGAACCGCAUGGUUCAAAAGUGAAAGACGGUCUUGCUGUCACUUAUAGAUGGAUCCGCGCUGCAUUAGCUAGUUGGUAAGGUAACGGCUUACCAAGGCAACGAUGCAUAGCCGACCUGAGAGGGUGAUCGGCCACACUGGAACUGAGACACGGUCCAGACUCCUACGGGAGGCAGCAGUAGGGAAUCUUCCGCAAUGGGCGAAAGCCUGACGGAGCAACGCCGCGUGAGUGAUGAAGGUCUUCGGAUCGUAAAACUCUGUUAUUAGGGAAGAACAUAUGUGUAAGUAACUGUGCACAUCUUGACGGUACCUAAUCAGAAAGCCACGGCUAACUACGUG